rnacentral:lncRNA from 1 species
GUAGCUUCCACGCGGGCAGGUCCGGAAACUGAGCAUGUCUGCAAGCGCUCAGCGGCGCCGGCAGCAGCGGGGCUAGAGCUGGGCUGCGUCAGGCUGAGCCCAUUCACCUCGCGGCCACAGGAGCUCAGCGCCGGCGCCGCGCCGCCCAGCCCCGCCGAGAGGGGCGCACUCGCCGCCGCGGGGCCCGCCGCCGCUCACCGCAGCCCCCUCCUGGCGACCCGCAAGGUAGCAUUCUUUGCUUAUCCAAUGAUGCCUCUUUCUAACCUCUCCCUCUCCACUUACAUCCCAAACCUGAUGCGGGUCUUCUCUGAUUCGGCACUCUAAGGAGGACUCAGCCGCCGGCUGCGACCACCGUGGACUCCCUCUAUGGAAGGGAAUCCUGGGAGUCCCGGCCGUCAGAGGGGUUCCCAAAUCCAAAGGGUCCAUCUCCAAGGCGUCACUCCAGGGGUCCGCGGUUCACUUUGCUGCCCCUUGCAGGUGAUGCUGUGAUUGUUGCCUGCGGACUGGGAAGCACGAUGGCUCCAAAAGGCCAGCGGGGCCGAGAAGCAGGGACAGAGACCAGCAUUUAAGGGAUCUCUGGUGGGGGCCUCCCUGGAGUUCUCCACAUGUAAAUAUAGCGAAAAAAGAAAACACUACGUUACUAGAAUAAACACGUCCUAAAAUUUCUGUGCAAAAACACCUUUUUGAACAGCAAAGAUUUCACCCACCAAAACAAGGAAGCAAGAAGCUUCCACAGUGUGCAGGAUCCGAAACAGGACCGGCCCGGCGUUGGGUGAGAGUGGGGGAGGGGUUGUCGGCUUCUCCAUCCAGCUUGCCAUGUUCUGUCGUCGGUUUCACAUUUUCAGAGAGACUUUACCAGAUGCAGGAAAUGAGGAUGAAGGCAACUCUGGAAGGAUGCAAAGAAGGGAGAGCAAGCACUGUACCUACUGUCUGCUGUCUAAGAGGGCUGGUCUCAUAACUAAAAGGUCCAGUCCCUGAGAUCUUGUGUGCAACCGUCAGAAAUAGUUCAGGACAUCAAAUUGCACAGAGAAGAUUCAGAUGAAGGGAAACAAGAACUCUGUGGAAAACUGUUGGGGACAGUGGCACGAGUUGUCUUGCAAGGUGAUGUCUGUCCCGUGGAGGGACACAAGAGCGAGGACAGCAUGGUUCUAAUGGCCAGGGCAUGUCUUCUUAUUCCAUGUGACAGUGGCUGGCUGAGUUGCUAGUACGUUUUUGAAAUAUACCCUUUGAAAUAUGUUGAUUAUUCUGGACAUCUGUAAGGUGGGAGAUUUGAAUAAAAAGACUUCUGCUGUCAUUAUUGGCUUUUAUGGCUAUGAUUUUUUUCAGUCAUUAUUAUAAAUCAUGUGAAGGUAAAAUAAAUGAUCAUUUUAGCCAUUCUGUUCUGCACAGAAUGCUGUUCAAAUAAAACAUCAUCUGAUA